CUCAGGAAAUAUGCAUGAGAUACUAGAGGGCAGCUACAACUGAGGAUACCAGGGAGGAGUCUGCUCAAAGAAGGCCUGCUUCUCUCUUAUCAGGAGAUGUCAGCAUUUAGUGCAAGGACAAAUGCUUGCCUCUUGAAUAGCAACGAUUGCUUUAGCAGCUUCCAUUGCCAUAUGUGUACAAUAAGUAAAUGAACAUAAAAUUGAACGAACACAUAAAAGAAGGAUAAACCCACCCAGCUUAACAAAUCCACUCUCUCACCUGCUGUGCCCUGAAACAUGAAAAAAAGAAUCCCUGGAUCAUAAGGAUUAAUAAAAUAACAGUCUCUGUUAACAAUACUGA